CUCCGAAUCAAAUCAAAGACAUAUACUAUGCCUUUCCAGACAUUAUUUAUACUAGAUCAAUAGCCAAAGCUAUUGUGUGAACAUAUACUAUACAGGCCUAGGCUAGGCAACGAUUUUUAACAAACAGGAGAGUGGCAUCGUAGCCUUGAGGAAGGAGAUCGCUUGUGGACGUUGGGUGAUUUUUGUGCCAAGCGCAGCCUCCGCCAGCCACACCCUCACGUGCGUGCAACUGUGCGGGACUCUAUUUCUCACCAGAGCGGUCUGUACGCUUGGCCAUGCGUGCUUGUCUGUCGCGAGCACCCGCAGCAUCAGCAACACAAAGAGGGUCGAUGAGCUGUUAGAUUGGAGAUACAAGGCGCCGCCGGCAACUUCAAGGCCGAUUUGCGGGGGAAACGAGAUCACUUAUAAGACAAGGUGUGCCGUUACCAUGGCUACGGACGCCAGUGAAACUCAUUUAGAGGUAACCGUAUCCGAAAGCCCAGGUAAAU
rnacentral:lncRNA from 1 species